ensembl:lncRNA
UGUGUGUGUAGGGCAGGGCUCUGUAUCGCUAAAGAUAAAUGUAACCUGACAGAUAACUAUGUCUACGGCAGACAGGAUUUCAGAGAAUACAAACUUGGUUUCAUUUAAAGUUGUGUAACAGUCAAAACCCUGUGUGGAUCAGGAUAAAACUCUCUCUGGCUUUACUUUGGACGGUCUGUGUGUCUUUGGAGGAACCACAGGUCCAGAAGAAGUACAGUAUGAGAGAUAGCUAGCCUAUCAUGGCUGAAGAGGACCACUAAGGUGGUACCCAGCAGUUACUGUGUUGUCUAAAGCCCAAGCUGAUCGAUGCUCUGAGUGCAGACCCUAACUUUGUGCAGCAGCAUUCAGACUCUCUCAGACUAAUGUCCCGGCGUGAGUACCAGCAGGUCAAAGCCCUCACUGAGGCAUUAGAAAAGGCCCGGGACCUUCUGAACCAUGUGAUCCACAAAGGAGUCGCUGCUGCAGAGGAGUUACUGCAGUUCCUGAUAGUCAAUGAACUGCAAGAGACGUUUCCAAAACUUCCAUUCCUCAAGAAACUGUCAAUGAAUCAUCAAAGAGCUGCAGGUCUAUUCCUCUUAAGUCUAACCUGGGGGAUGUAGCCACCCUUCUAUUGGACCAUAUUUACUGCAUAAACCAUUCUUGGGGAGGCUGAAAAAUGAUGCACAGUUUAACAUUUAUAUUUUGUUGUUUAUCUAGGGGGAAAUUAAUUUACCAGAAAGAGAAGAAGAGAAGACAAACCAUUGAGUCAGAAGAAACCCUUCCUGCUAAACAGACAAGCAAGAAUAGUUAGUUUUCCUGCCGGAACAGGAUCUGGCACCUCAGAUUUGACUUUGUUUGUUUCGGCACCUAUUUACCCGGAUCCAGUACCUCUCAUGAUUUAUUCCAUUUUUCACUGGUCGUACUGUAAACAUUUUAAUAAAAGCGAUGAGUGUUAAAUCAAGUUGCCUCCUCCUUAUUUCUCCCACCCCCCAGGAAGACAAUCGUGUAAAAGUGUGGUCAUCCUUCUGCUUAAUCAUCCUUUCCUGCCACACUGAUUCCAGACCUGCUCUCUUAUUUGCACAUGGAGGUUAUGGGGAGGGCCGGUGGGGUAAGUAACUAAUCUUGACACAGGUCUUGGUAAUGGUGGUCAGCUAGUGAAGAGGUCCCUACGUAAUCAUGUCACACAGCCAAG